GUCAGGAUGGCCGAGUGGUCUAAGGCGCCAGACUCAAGUUCUGGUCUUUGAAAGAGGGCGUGGGUUCAAAUCCCACUUCUGACA
rnacentral:tRNA from 1 species